rnacentral:rRNA from 1 species
CCUACGGGUGGCUGCAGUGAGGAAUAUUGGUCAAUGGGCGGGAGCCUGAACCAGCAAAGUCGCGUGAAGGAAGAAGGUACUUAGUAUUUUAAACUUCUUUAGUCGGGGAACAAAGGCGGAGACGCGUCUCCGGAUGAGUGUACCCGAAGAAAAAGCACAGGCUAACUCCGUGCCAGCAGCCGCGGUAAUACGGAGGAUGCGAGCGUUAUCCGGAUUUAUUGGGUUGAAAGGGUGCGCAGGUGGGAGAUCAAGUGUGCGGUAAAAUGUCGGUGCUAAACCCCGGCCGGCCGUUGAGACUGGUUUUAUAGUGUUGGAGAGAAGUAUGCGGAAUUCGUGGUGUAGCGGUGAAAUGCAUAGAGAUCACGAAGAACUCCGAUUGCGAAGGCAGCAUACCGGCUCCAUACGGACGCUGAGGCACGAAAGCGUGGGGAUCGAACAGGAUUAGAUACCCGAGUAGUC